ACCAGGCCAGCCUGAAAAGAAAAGGAUUAAGGCCGUUUAAAGGGAGGAAAUGGAACAAAAGGAGCAGUUUUAUGAUGUAGCAGCAUAAAAUAAGGGGCCACUUUGUGCAGCUGAUUGCCAAAGGUCUCCAAGUGGAGCAGCCAGUGCUGCAGGCACCACUCCCCUUGGGGUGAGCAGCUCCCACUAAAGCCUGUGCCUAGGCUGGAAUAAGAGCCCAGCUCUCAUUUAGGGGUAAAUUAGAGAUUAUUGGUUUGUUUCUACAUCUCAAUUUUUUUUAAUUUUCCACACCUACUGAAAAGUGGCCUGUAGGGAGAUUAUACUCUAGUGAAAGUUGCUGCUAAUUAAAACAAGUAAUUAGUGUUCCUCCAGGCUUUGUGAUUUCACUCACUUUUGCCCGCCAGACAACAUUAGUUUAAAAGCAAUCCAAUUUCUAGCAAUAACAGACUGUAAAAAAGUCAUUUAGCAAGUAUAUAAGUGUAAGGUUACUGUUCAGGCUUUGAUUUAUCUCUUCUAGGCUAUUUAGAGGGCCAUAGUAAAAUUGGAGGGGAGGAGGGCAGGAGGAGUUAAAUGCUUUUUUCUUCAGGUUUAGUUUUGUUUGAGUUUUUUGCAAAGUCAUGUAACUGCAUUCACAAAGGCAAGGUAGAAGAACUUCAGGAGACAGCUUUCCAAGUCACAUUAAAAAACACAAUUUGGUUUAAUACGGUCUUCCAAGAGAACCCUCACUUAGCAUUAAGUCCUUUUGUUUCCACUCCUCCUUCUCAUAAAAUGAAGACUUUUUAUUGACUGGGUCUCUCUGGAUGAGUAGGAGUUUAAACAUACUGCUGCUUCUUGUUGUUACAGACAAAAAUGAUUAUAUUCAUAUUUUGUUGUUCUACAAGAAAUUUAAAGAGAUUAGUAUAAGGUUUCAAAUGUGAUGACAUAUUGAUUAACAAAAACAUAUUGGAACUCCUAUCUUCACUUGUUUCCAAUGUUCCCAUCAUUCCAAAACUGCCAGCUGUGAUGCUGACGUGUUGUAAUAUACUUCCUCAUAGGAUAUUUUGGCUUGACUAGGUACCCCUGGAGGUUCCUUCUUUUUGUGCAAGGAUACUGUUUCUUCUUUUUAUGCAUGGAUAACGCAUAAACUGCAAUUCAUCUACAAUAGCAGUAUAUGCAGGUGAUUUCUUCCUAUAGAAAGAAAGUCCAAUUUUCUAGCACUGAACCAGUGGACAUAGAUUUUGAUUUUAGUUUGGCUUAUCUCCUAUUUCUGUUGAUAAAUGAACCAGAAAAAGGAAAAUAUGAUUUUUGAUAAGCUAUGAAAACAUUUUACACUGAUAAACAGAGUAAGAUUGCAUAGUAGUCACAACAAAAUAGCUGUAAUUCAACACUAAAGUGUCAUUUUAAAUGGUAUUUCUUUUCCAGUUACAUACCAACAAACAAAUCUGUAUAGAUUAACUCCUUUUCUUGUAAUGUUAAUUUUAAAUACACAAAACAUACUGGUUUUGAUCACAAGCAGAAAACGUGGAAAUAUUUAUCAGCGUUGCUUUUUCCCAUCUGCUAAAAGUUUAAUAAUUCAGUCUGACAAGCAGGAUCCAUCAUGUUCGGUUUAUGUAGAUUCUGAUAAAAUACUUCAUCAUAUUGAAUAAUAAUAGAUUUAAAGAACAGUUCAGACUUUGCUGAAUACUACGAUUUUCUUUUACCCUUUACGUGGCUUAGUAUUUGGUUUUUUUAGGUUUUUUUCAGCUGAUGUCUUCUUCUAUAAGAAUAGACAUAGAUGAAAACCAAGUUUUUUUGGUGGGUUGUUUUGGAGGUUUGUUUGUUUUUUACUGAUAAGGAUAAGAACAAAUCUCCAUUCCUGAAAAGAAAUAGGUAUAAUUAUUGUAAGAUCUCUGUUCUUUCAUCCCUGGGAUUUCUUUUAGAAAAUUAAGUUUUGCAUGCCUUUUAGUAGUUUUAGUCUAUGUACAAAUUAUAUAUUUGUGAAUGUCCUUUUGGGCCACCCCCAAAUAACACUUAGCAUAGUAAAAAUCCAGACUUUAAAAAAAAUUGACAAGAAGUCUGUGAUAUUGAUUUUUUGUUAAAUUUAAGAGGCACGUAUGAUGGGCACGCAAUUUUUAUUAUUGUUUUUCUUUUUUAUCCUUUCAGUUGCAAAAGCUGCAUUUAUUCUUGGAGCCAGUCUUCAUGGACUACAGCAGUAGUGGAGCAGACCAUGGGGCACCAGAGGGCAGAAUCUUCUAUGACUUGUAGAGACAUCAUAAACUCCUUAUAGAUUGUUUAUUAAUCUUGGUGGGAUGAUAAUUUUAUCUGCCAUUAAGAAAGUAAUGCUCCUGCUAUAUCUGCAAGGCACCAGAUAAGUAGAAAUUAGGCAGACAUUUAUUGUUUCUCUGUGAUGCUGAAGAAAGACCAUGUAUAGCAGUAAAUACAAUUCAGAAGGAAGAGAGAGAAGACAAAUAGGAGAUAUGAUCCUGAAAGCUAUCAGUAAGGAGUGUUUCUCGAUCUCCACUUAAAACAAGGCCUACAAAGCUGCAAGUGUUCAUGCACAGUCUCAUUAGAGGACUGUACUCUUGGCCUUCUAGCAGAGAGCUGUGAGUGAACUUCAAAUAUAACAGUGCAUCAAUCAGAUCCAAGGUAGGCUUUUAAUGUCAUUUUUUCUACUUUGCCUUUAAAGUCCUUUAAAGGAGUGCCCUUUCCACUGUGCAACCAAUGAUCAUUCAACAGCACUAAACAAACUAACAAAAAGCCUCUCAGGAGAAGGGUUUCACUCCCCUCAUAAAGAGGAAAGCAAGAUAUUUUACUGAUGGGUUUUCUAAUAAAAUGGAAAAUACACUAGACUCAGCGUAGCUUUUUGCACCUUUCUGAUUUUUGCAUGUGUUUAUUGAAGGAAAGAUUAGAAAAAAUAUUACUUUUGAGGACAGCACAACGUCUGAUCCAGAUAUGACCACAGUCAUAUGUAGCUAUUUUCUAUUUAAAUGAGGGAGUCAUUUUAGUAAAUAUGCUUAAAUGGAAAAAUUAAAUUAAAAAGAUAUUAUCUCUCACCAUCUAAAGUUCUUUUUCAAAAGUUGUUAUGAUACAGUGAACUGUGAUCAUAAAGGAAAGGAAGUAUUUCUUUGAAUAUAACAAAGGAUCCAAAAAUAAAUAUGAUCUAAAGACAACUGUCCAUGGAAAUUAAAUUAACUAGGGGAGUUUGAAAAAACAGAAGAAGCUGGAUACAUGAAACAAGCCUAACAGUGCCAAGUGACCAAAACUUUGGAAGUCCAACAGUCUGUAGUCUGUACUCAGCUGCAUUUAGCUGAGGUUAGAAGGACCUAAUAUUUAGUGUUUGUCCCCAAGAUAAUAUAGUCUUUUGUGUCUGUGUCAUGGGUUUUUUCCCCCUAAACUUUAUCAGUUAUGAAGCAGCUGUGACCUAAACAUCACCCCUUGCCUUAUGAUAAUUUAUAGAUGCACACAUAUAUUUUUUGCAGUAUUUCCACAAUUUUAUUUAUGUGUUUUUAUUUCAGGUAUUCAGAUACUCAGAAGAUUUAUGCAGAUUUUAUAAAAAAGUACUAGAGCAUUUAUGCCAC